rnacentral:rRNA from 2 species
CGCCCCGCAAGGGGAGCGGCAGACGGGUGAGUAACGCGUGGGAACGUACCUUUUGCUACGGAAUAACUCAGGGAAACUUGUGCUAAUACCGUAUGUGCCCUUCGGGGGAAAGAUUUAUCGGCAAAGGAUCGGCCCGCGUUGGAUUAGCUAGUUGGUGAGGUAAAGGCUCACCAAGGCGACGAUCCAUAGCUGGUCUGAGAGGAUGAUCAGCCACACUGGGACUGAGACACGGCCCAGACUCCUACGGGAGGCAGCAGUGGGGAAUAUUGGACAAUGGGCGCAAGCCUGAUCCAGCCAUGCCGCGUGAGUGAUGAAGGCCCUAGGGUUGUAAAGCUCUUUCACCGGUGAAGAUAAUGACGGUAACCGGAGAAGAAGCCCCGGCUAACUUCGUGCCAGCAGCCGCGGUAAUACGAAGGGGGCUAGCGUUGUUCGGAUUUACUGGGCGUAAAGCGCACGUAGGCGGACUUUUAAGUCAGGGGUGAAAUCCCGGGGCUCAACCCCGGAACUGCCUUUGAUACUGGAAGUCUUGAGUAUGGUAGAGGUGAGUGGAAUUCCGAGUGUAGAGGUGAAAUUCGUAGAUAUUCGG